rnacentral:rRNA from 1 species
UACGAAGGGUGCGAGCGUUAUUCGGAAUCAUUGGGCGUAAAGGGUGCGUAGGCGGCAUGCUAAAUCAACUGUUUAAUUCCUCGGCUUAACUGAGGAUCAGCAGUAGAUACUGGUGUGCUAGAGUGUGGAAGAGAGGAGUGGAAUUCUCGGAGUAGCGGUAAAAUGCGUAGAUCUCGAGAGGAACACCAAUGGCGAAGGCAGCUCCUUGGUCCACUACUGACGCUGAUGCACGAAAGCGUGGGGAGCAAACAGG